AUAAAUAUAAAAUAUUUUAAAAUGUAAUUGACUUUUUGUUCAGAUAAUGGUAUAUGGAUAGUGUAAGGGUUGCUCCCCCUUACAACCCU
rnacentral:tRNA from 1 species